rnacentral:rRNA from 1 species
AAGCCUGCUUCAAGAUGAGGUAUCCCACCCCACUUUGUGGGGGUAAGGCCCCCAGCUAGACGACUGGGUUGAUAGGCCGGAGAUGUAAGCUCGGUAACGGGUUGAGUUGACCGGUACUAAUAGGCCGAGGACUUGACUAC